AUGUCCGACGGCGACUGCGAGCACGGUGCCGGCAGCUCGGCGCCGAUGUGCAACUUUGUUCGGAAGCCGCUGAAGAAUAUUCGGAAGCGUCCGGCCGCCUUUGUCGGCUCUGACGACGAAGAAGGUAGCAGCAGCGAUGAAUCCGGGGCCAUCGCGGCGGCGCGAUCUAAGAAGCCGCCAUCUACUACCAGCAAGCUCUUCUUCUCCUCCGCCGACAACUCACACGAGCCCUGCCGUUUCCAGUUCGAGUCGUCCCGGACGAUUCAGUCCUCCACCGACAACCGCGCCACUGCGACGCUUGAGACGGAGACGACGUACGACCGUGAUGCGCGCGCCAUCCGCGAGUGA
rnacentral:rRNA from 1 species